AGGACGAACGCUGGCGGCGUGCCUAAUACAUGCAAGUCGAACGGUCUUUCUAUGGAAGCUUGCUUCCACUGAGAAGAUAGUGGCGAACGGGUGAGUAACACGUGGGUAACCUGCCCAUAAGAGGGGGGAUAACAUCCGGAAACGGGUGCUAAUACCGCAUAGUUUUCUUGAUCGCAUGAUUGAGAAAGGAAAGGCGGCCUUUGUGCUGUCGCUUAUGGAUGGACCCGCGGCGUAUUAGUUAGUUGGUGAGGUAACGGCUCACCAAGACGAUGAUACGUAGCCGACCUGAGAGGGUGAUCGGCCACAUUGGGACUGAGACACGGCCCAAACUCCUACGGGAGGCAGCAGUAGGGAAUCUUCCGCAAUGGACGAAAGUCUGACGGAGCAACGCCGCGUGAGUGAAGAAAGGUUUUCGGAUCGUAAAACUCUGUUGUCAGAGAAGAACAAGUUGGAGAGUAACUGCUCCAGCCUUGACGGUAUCUGACCAGAAAGCCACGGCUAACUACGUGCCAGCCGCCGC
rnacentral:rRNA from 1 species